UGGAUCCAGACUUUGAUCAUGGCUCAGGACGAACGCUGGCGGCGUGCCUAACACAUGCAAGUCGAACGGAACUGUUUUGAAAGAUUUCCUCGGAAUGAAUUUGAUUUAGUUUAGUGGCGGACGGGUGAGUAACGCGUGAGUAACCUGCCUUCAAGAGGGGGAUAACAUUCUGAAAAGAAUGCUAAUACCGCAUGACAUAUCGGAACCACAUGGUUUAGAUAUCAAAGAUUUUAUCGCUUGAAGAUGGACUCGCGUCCGAUUAGUUAGUUGGUGAGGUAACGGCUCACCAAGACCGCGAUCGGUAGCCGGACUGAGAGGUUGAACGGCCACAUUGGGACUGAGACACGGCCCAGACUCCUACGGGAGGCAGCAGUGGGGGAUAUUGCGCAAUGGGGGCAACCCUGACGCAGCAACGCCGCGUGAAGGAUGAAGGUUUUCGGAUUGUAAACUUCUUUUAUUAAGGAUGAAACUUGACGGUACUUAAUGAAUAAGCUCCGGCUAACUACGUGCCAGCAGCCGCGGUAAUACGUAGGGAGCAAGCGUUGUCCGGAUUUACUGGGUGUAAAGGGUGCGUAGGCGGCUUUGCAAGUCAGAUGUGAAAUCUAUGGGCUCAACCCAUAAACUGCAUUUGAAACUGUAGAGCUUGAGUGAAGUAGAGGCAGGCGGAAUUCCCCGUGUAGCGGUGAAAUGCGUAGAGAUGGGGAGGAACACCAGUGGCGAAGGCGGCCUGCUGGGCUUUAACUGACGCUGAGGCACGAAAGCGUGGGUAGCAAACAGGAUUAGAUACCCUGGUAGUCCACGCUGUAAACGAUGAUUACUAGGUGUGGGGGGUCUGACCCCUUCCGUGCCGGAGUUAACACAAUAAGUAAUCCACCUGGGGAGUACGGCCGCAAGGUUGCAACUCAAAUGAAUUGACGGA
rnacentral:rRNA from 2 species